rnacentral:rRNA from 1 species
AGUGAACGCUGGCGGCAGGCCUAAUACAUGCAAGUCGAACGGCAGCACAGCAGAGCUUGCUCUGUGGGUGGCGAGUGGCGGACGGGUGAGGAAUACAUGGGAAUCUGCCCAGUCGUGGGGGAUAACGUAUGGAAACGUACGCUAAUACCGCAUGCGCCCUACGGGGGAAAGCCGGGGACCGCAAGGCCUGGCGCGAUUGGAUGAGCCCAUGUUCGAUUAGCUAGUUGGCGGGGUAAAGGCCCACCAAGGCGACGAUCGAUAGCUGGUCUGAGAGGAUGAUCAGCCACACUGGAACUGAGACACGGUCCAGACUCCUACGGGAGGCAGCAGUAGGGAAUAUUGGACAAUGGGGGCAACCCUGAUCCAGCCAUGCCGCGUGAGUGAAGAAGGCCUCGGGUUGUAAAGCUCUUUGUCCGGAAAGAAAGCAAUCGGUUAAUACCCGGUUGUUCUGACGGUACCGGAAGAAUAAGCACCGGCUAACUUCGUGCCAGC